GCUCCUGUAAAACUCUAGAACCCUAGAGAGAGAACUCGACUUCAGCGCUCCUUCUUUUCUUGUAAGGUUCUACUACUCUGUUGCAUGGUGGUCCCAGUCAGAGUGUUUUCCCCGAGGCUCUCGCGUGUUGGGAUGCAGAAGACACCGAGGCGGGUGACACCAGACACCUCGCCGAGAACCAGUUGGACCCUGCGCCCAGGAAGGAAGGACGGCACUCGCGCUGCCCUUUAGGGCCAAGAGGAGUCUAUUUAUUUCUUAUUUCCCACUCCAUCAAAUACACUACGGGCACAAGGUGCAGCGGCUUUCAGCGGCCUUCCCGGCUCGGUCUUCGAUCUUCUCCUUAGACGCCAGAGGGUUAUCGUCACACGCGCCCGGUGCACCGCCACCCACGUCCUCCUCGGCCCUCGGCGCCUUCUGGCCUGAACUGCAGGUCGCUGACCGCCUGCUCGUUCCCAUCCUCACCUCCGGAUCCAAGUCCUGCACGUGGCUCACCUCAGCUCGCCUGGGCCUCCUUGGCCCUCAGCCCGCCGCGCCCCUCCUCCGUCCCCCUGCGGCGCUCGCUUCCCCCCAGUCCCCCAGCUCCCGCAGGGACACAGUCUCGGAGAGGCCGCCAGGCUCCGUGGGGUGUGCGGCCCGUGAUCCGGCCCCUCCACUCCUUCUGCCCUGAGCCUGACCCUGAGCCCCAGAGCAGGAGCAGUUUGCUGUAUCUUCUUGCCUUCAGGAUCCUUUUUGAUGAAGAGAAAACCAAUAAAGUAUAGUAAUGGAUUC
rnacentral:lncRNA from 1 species